UCAUUGCCGCUGUUUUGUUUUGGGUCCAUCUCUCUAUCCUUUCCCCUACCCCUUUCUGGGGUGUGGAUCUGUGGGCCCCUUCACCCUGCUAGUCACAGAAUUGAGCCAAAUCAGCCCAAAAAAUGUUGACUGGUAAGUUCUCUGAUUUUAUUUUUUUUUUUAAAUACUGUGUUUGCUCAGUUCUUUCUGAAAAAGACAUUCUAUUCCAUUUAGUUCUGUAUACAAGCAAAAUUGGUUUAUCUGUCGGAGAACUGCCACACACCAUGUCUUCUAUUUGAUUUGCACUACAUAUUUUAAUGGAUUAUCUCUUGCUGCAGGGAUAGUUGUUGUGUUGCCACCUUCAUUUAUUGUCCUCAAAAAUAUGAUGUUUUAGUAUCUACCUGAGAAUGGGAGAAGUUUGAAAGCUAGUUUCCUUUCAAUCAUUUUAUAGUUAAUUGAAGAAGGAAAGCUUCUUUUUUUGAUUAUCAAAGUUACAUGAAAAUUUCAAGGCUUUUUCAAUGGAGCUUACAUUUAUGAUACAUGGGACAUGCGACACAAUUUUGAAUGCAAUUGAUUUGAGCUAACGACAUAGCAUGAAUUAUCUAACCUGUAUAUGCCUUCCAAGAUGAAGCCAUUUGAGGCUAGAUUUCUAAAGGUUUUCACAACCUUAAAGUCUCUUCAGGCAGAAUAUCCAGAAGAGACAAGCAUGAAGACAAUGAAUUUUCAGUAGAUGUCAAAGAGUUCCACUUGCACUGAAACAGCUAGGCAAUCCUCAGUGCUUUCAUCUUUAUCUCUGUGCUCUAGUUUCUCAGCAUUUAUAUGUAGAUGUAGAUGGUAUCACAUAGGUCCUUAACAACUAUGGGAGAGCAAAAGAAAACAAUCACUGUGGACUGUAAAAGUGAACUUCUGUUGUUUCCAUCUUUGUUGCAUGCAGAGCUCUUCUUCUCUGUUCCCCAUGCUAAGGUGAAAGUCAUAUCACUUCAUGUCCCAGAGUCCAUAAAAUGAAUGGAUGAAAUUUCAGGGUUGUAAUGGGAGACUUCUGAAGUAGAACAAUAUAUAGACUGCAGUUUCUCUCCAGAACAACAAGCCACGGAAGUUAGAAGCAGAUUGUUUAAACGACAAAAAAUAUAUGCAGCGCUGAAACUAAGCUGAACUUGAGGGCUGAGUCUAAUAAUCUGCUUUCAUAUUGUAAAUUCUAUGUUUAAUUUACAUUGAAUACAGUUUUGCAAAGAGGAAAUUUGCAUGUGUUGACAGUAUUGAGCCACUGAAGUUGUAUUUGAUUCUAAGAUUCAUGAGUGAACUUUCCAGAUCCCUUUUUAUGUAGUUUGCACUUCAGUGUGUGUGAGACCUGCUAGGGCAAAUCUACAAAAUCAAAGCAAGGAUAUUUUAGAGAAGCUUUUUAACUAUGUUCAAAAAAUAAUUAGUCAGAAACUGAUUGUUUGUAUGGAAUAAAAUAGUGUCCUUCUCUUGAGGUCCCUACUGUAAUAGUUUUGCUAAUUUUCACUUAAUGAUAGUAGUGAAAUUGUUGAAGGUGGAAUCAUUUGUUUCUCAGGUUUAAUUAUUUUACAUAAAAGUUAAUUGUGCAUUAGUGGAACAAGGAUGUUCUUGCUCUAAGAGCUGUUUUUUCUGCUUCUGCUAAUUUGUUUGAAUGAUGUCAUCUAUGCUGUUGCUCCUUGGUCUGUGCUUAGUAAUUUUAGUGCAGCUCCUUCUGGUCAUAGAAUCAUAGAAUAAUUUGAGUUGGAAGGUCCUUUAAAGGUCAUCUAGUCCAACUCUCCUGCAGUGAACAAGGAUGCUUACAGCUAGAUCUGACUGCUCAGAGCUCUGUCCAGACUGACCUUUAAUGUCUCCAUGGACAGGGCACCCACCAUUGAAUCACAGGAUCACAGAAAUGCAGGGGUUGGAAUAGACCUCAAGAGAUCAAGUCCAACCCCUCUGAUAAAGCAGGUGCCAUUUAAUAGGUUGCACAGGUUGGCAUCCAACUGUCUUGAAUAUCUCCAUAGAGGGAGACUUCACAACCUCUGUGGGCAGCCUGAUCCAGUGCUCUGACACCCUUACUGUAAAGAAGUUCUUCUGCGUGUUAGUUCAGAAUUUCCUGUGUUCAGGUUUUAGGCCAUUACUCCUUGUCUAUUCCAGUGCUUCACCAAUAUUAUUGUAAAAGACUUUGUUCUAGUAUCCAAUCUAAAUCUCCCCUCUUUUAGUUUGAAAGCACUUUCUCUUCUCCUAUCACCACAGACACUGCAAAAGAGUCUGUCCCCUUCCUCUUUAUAGUCCCACUUUAGAUACUGAAAGGCCGUUAUCAGGUCUCCAUGGAGCCUUUGCUUCUCUAAGGAGAAGAGCCCCAGCUCUCUCAGCCUGUCCUCAUAGAGGAGGAGUGUCAUCCAUUGGUUCAUAUUUGUGGUCCUCAUCUGGACACAGUCCAACAGGUUGAUGUCUCUCCUGUACUGAGGACUCCACAUCUGGACGCAGUACUUCAGGUGAGACAACACCAUUGCAGAGUAGGGGGGCAGGAUCACUUCCCUCGAGCUGCUGGUCACGCUUGUAUAAGUGCAGCCCAGAAUACGGUUGGCUUUCUGGGCCGUGACAGCAUGUUGCUGACUUAUGUCCAGCUUGCCAUCCACCAUUACCCCCAAGUCAUUUGUGCUCUAUCUAUUGUGAUAGUGGGGGUUGCUGCAAGACCUUGUGCUUGGAUUUGUUAAACCUCAUGAGAUUCACCUGAGCCCACUGCUGGAGCCAGUCUAGGUCACUCUGAAUGGCAUCCUGUUCCUUGGGCAUGUCAACUGCACCACACAGCUUGAUAUCAUCCACAAACUUUCUGAGGGUGCACUCAAUCCCACUGUUAAUUAAUGCAGUUACUAAAGGGCAUCAGUUCCAGUACUGACCCUUGAGGGACACCAUUCUUGACUCAUCUCCACCCAGACAUUGAGCCAUUGACCACCACUCCCUGGGUAUGAUCUCACAACAAUUUCCUCAUCCGCUGAACCAUAAAAUCCAUAUCUUUCCCAUUUGGAGAGAAGGACGUUAUGGUGGACCACAUCAAAGGCCUUGCUGAAGUUGAGAUUGAUGACACCAGUGUCUCUUCCCUUGUCUAUUGAUGCAAUUAUGCCAUCAACAUCAUAGAAGGCCACAGAGUGGAUCAGGUAGGAUGUGCCCUUUGUGAAGUCAUGCUGGCUGUCUCAUAACCCCUCCCUGUUGUCCGUGUGCCUCAGCAUAGUUUCCUGGUGGAUCUGUCCCAUGAUCUUCCCUGGCACAGAGGUGAUGGUUCCCUUUCUACCCUUCAUAAAAAUAAGUAUGAAAUUACCUUUUUUCCAGUCACCAGUGACUACACCUGAUUGCAGCAACUUUUCAAAUAUAAUCAAUGUCUUGGCGACAACAUCAGCCAAUUUUGUCAGGACUCUGGGAUGCAUUUCACUGGAACCCAUAGACUUAUGGCUGUUCAGGCUAAUCAGGUAGCUGUGAAUCUGAUCUUUGCUUAGAUUGGGAGGGACAUUACUUCCCUGGUCCCCAUCUUCCAACCCCUCUCCUUGAAGGGUGUGAAAAGUAUUGUGCAAAGAGUAGUUGCCCAUGAAGACCGAGGCAAAAAUUUAUUCACUGUCUCAGCCUUCUCCUAUAUUGUUUUAAAUCACAGUAACUUUAGUAAUACCUGUGAUUAAAAGCCAUUUCUAGAUGCAUCUUACUUGUUUUACCAACCGUAUGUGUAAAUUAUAACUGGUUAGGUCACUGAAGUAAGUCUAUGCCAUCUCAUUCAGGGUGAUAAUUGGUACAGAAAGUUACAGCCUUGGCUACCAUAAUCUCUAAACCCUAUCUCUAGGAUCUUCUUUCUAGUUUGUGAGUCUCCUCCCACUUUAUUUUCAUGCUGACCCCUGCAGCAGACACAGCUGCCUUGCUGCAGCACUGAGCUUCUGCUAGGUUGUCCCGUGUCUGAUACCUGCCUUUGCUACAUCUUGCCAGCCUCAGCAGCUAUCAUCUGCUGUCUUUUCAAGCACUUAUUCAUCGGAAACUCUGGUCAGACACUUCUCUACUUUGUUUAAAUCACUUCUGUGCUCUUUACUAUGCAAGACAUGAGCCAAAACAUUGACAAUUCUAAAUUCAACAGCUAGGCAAGCUAUAUUUAUUCCAUCGUGGUUCAUUCUGGCUAAAAAGCUGCCUUGUCUUAUUUCAUUAGCUCAAGUUACCCAUUGCACACCUAACUUUUUUUACAUUCAUAAGAACAGGAGAUGGGAAGCUGAGUGGAUGGUGUCUGGGACCCCAGGAAGGCCUCUCCAGUCCAAAGUCUGGGGCUGUGUAGAGCUUAGUACAGUAAGGCCCUUAUCCUCAUUUGCAAGUUGUAUAUGUAUCUGCAAUAGAGAAGUGAAUACAAAUAGUAACACCUUCAUAUGAGAUCUCAUGCUCUUUUGAGAUUUGCAUUCGCAAUGUAUUAACAUAGAUAAGCUUUCACAGAUACUUUUUUCCAUAAGCGUUUUCCACUGUGAAAAUUAAUCUGCAAAGGUUAGCAAAUGGAUAUUGAAGUACUGAAAUACUGUAUAGUUCAGUUAUGCAAAUUAUUAAUUGCUUACAGACUGACUAACUGGCAAAGUGAGAGCAAAGACUGUCACAGAGGUAUUUGUGUAUGACAAAUACAAAGUGUGCUUGGAUCAAUAUUGUGUAGACGAAGAAAUGCACAGCUGAGCUCACCUACCUUUGACACAUAAGCCCAGAUGGAUUUAUUCUCCCAAAACAUCUGGUUGGAUCACAGUGGGAUUGAUCGGAUAUAUAGCAGUUGGGGACUCUAAAGCCCACAACAAGGCUGGAACUCAAGAAUGAGUAUGAUUUUUUCUUAGAAGAUAUGAAGGUCAUUGGAUGUCUGUGGAGAUCUUGUAAUUCUCUGAAAAGUGUUCUGCGCAGCACUUUUUAGUCUAAAAAUCUUCAAUUCGUGUGAGCAAGUAUUUUUAUUUUUCUAUUACUAAACGUACUUCCCCAAUUACUAAGGAAGAUGGUAGAAAACAGAAAAGUUUACGGAGCACAUCUGUCAAAAAGUGAACUUUUCCAUCACUAUCACAUUUCUUCCAGUGUAAGAGGCAGAGGGCAGCCUUGCAUUUCUUUAUUUUCUGUCUUUCUUGGCUAUACUUUGUGUUUUAAUUCCAGAUGUUAUGAGACACAAGGUGGGUUAUUCAAAACUAUUUAUUAGCUAGUUAAAUUGAAAUGCCUUUGCUCUUUGGCCAAGUUUUAUAGGAACCCUCAAAACAUUGGAGUACCUCACAGGCAGUGCCCUACCUUUAUAGAUGACAUCAGUGCAACAGGACUUGAUUUUUCAAUAUAUCUUGAAAUAUAUUUUUCUAACAAGUACACAUUCUUACUUGUAUUUUCUUUCACUGAAAUCAGCCAAGUUGUAUGCAGUCAUGAUUUAUGUCUCCCAAAGGAUCUUAAGAAUUUAAAAUCUAUAAGCCUGAUCCCAAAGUCUUUACUCAGGCAAAAUGCCUGAAAUAAACUGGAGGAUAUAUAAGGCUUCAUAUAACAUUUGGCCUUGAAGAAAAAAUACCAUUAACAAAGGCAAUUAAAGAUAUCAAAGUUGAACUUUGCCUUAUGGGUAUAUGUAUCUAAAAGUAGAGGAGUAAUUAAGAUAGACUAUUACUUAUUCCACAUGCGCAAACUUCCAGCAGUUUCCUUGAUGGACUCUAUCUUUCUGGGAAAAAUCAUCUGCUCCAGAAGAGUGGGCAUUUGUGUGCAUGUAUAUCUUUAUUAACAUUUUAAUUGGGACCAGGAGAGCACUCCCGAGGAGAGCCAUCCCUGCUCACCGUGAGUUUGCAUUGCAGAGCACUCCCCAAGCACAUAGACUGACUGGCUUUUGGACUAAGCCAAGCCAGAAUAUGUGCUUCAGGAGCUAAACUAAUGCACCCCCACUGCUUGCUGGCAUUUGUUCCACAUGGACAGAAUGCAUCUUGUGUAAACCAGCCCCCAUCCCCCUGCCAUGCAGAUAAUUUGGAAGUCAGAUCCUCAGCACCAAUCUUUUUUCUCUCCAGAUCUGCUCAUAUUGGGUUGCAUGACUUGCCAGCAUAGAUACAGCCACAUAUCAUGUUCCCCAUGAUCCUACUACAAAGCAAACUGUAACUGCAGUCUCAGCAACUAACCCACAAGUCUGUUGCACAUCUGUGCUGUGAAGAGGUCUGUGAUAUGUUUUUAUUUUGUGUGUGUGGUGGUGGUGUGUUUUUGUUGCCAUCAUUUCUUUAAAUUUCUAUCAGGGAAUCAUGAAACUAUAAUUAGGGUUUUCUAUUAUAAAAUCUAAUUUAAUUGAAAGAUGUGUUGCUUCUAUCUGCCCUGCUCAGUCAGUGUCUCAAGCUUAGUGUUUUUAAUAGACAAGCCACAUGAUAUAUGAACAUCUCCUACCUGGAAAAUUAACCUGUCUUGAUGGUGGAAAAGUUCGUUUCACAGAAAAUCAACAUCAUCUAGGUUUGUUAGCUGAUAAGUUUCAGUAACAAAUGUUUCUGGUGAUGUUACUUUUGGCAAAUCAGUUAUCUGUGCCAUCUCUCAGCCUCAAUGCUAUGUCUAAGAUGAUUGUGGGCCAGUAACAGGAGUAGGGAUGAAGCUUGGACCACAGUAGUUCAUCUCUAAAAUGCUUGAUACUGCAGAGGAACUGCAGGCUAAUGCAAAUGGAGUGGCACAAGUAAGUCACUAAGAAUAUAGUCUGUAAAUUUUUCAGUAAAAGUUCUAUGUGUACCUUCAACACAUUUCAGAAAGCAUUCGUUCUGUAUUCAAAGUAUGAACUGCCACAAAAUUGGGAUUAUCCAAACUAAUAGAAUGAAUUUUUAAGAAUUCAUGCCUUUAAGAAGGUACCUUUUUAUAAAGUCUUUUCUCAGCCUCAUCUCUCUAUUAGUCCUUUUCCUCUGAGUGGAAAAUUCAUGAAAUAGAAUAACAAGAGAGCACUAGCAAAAGGCAACUGAGACCCCACUGCCUGUACUGUUUUGGAAGUUCCCGAGAGUGAAAAAAAAUAUUGUUGAGGAAGAAGGUUCCAUAAUGCCUUAAGGUAUACUGCAUUCCCUAAAAAUGAUUCCUUAGCAUCUUUCUUUACUAUCUAUAUUACUUUCAGCAUAGUAAAAUUACAGACACACUAGUAAGGAUUUGCUGGGAGCUAUAACAGUCAAAUUUUUUC